rnacentral:tRNA from 1 species
GCCCCCGUAUCCCAAUCGGCAGAGGAAGGCGCCUUAAAAGCGCUGCAGUCUGGGUUCGAGUCCCAGCGGGGGCA